GCCGCCCGGGCCGCGGUGCGGAGUGCGCGGGGUCGGGGCGUGCCGGGCAGAGAGCAGGAAAGGCUCUGCAGGAUAUUUUAUUGUGUGGAACAAUAAGGUAGAGAUACCAGUAUCUUCUCAGUGACUGAGGAGGAGGAGUUUGAAGGUCAGAGUUUCUUUGUGCGUGGAGUGAUUGCCUUUUCUGGAGCCCUCCUCAGUGCUUUUCACAGGCUCCCACAGGACAUACCCAGCAGGAGGAAUCCCAUCUUCUCCACUGUCCUAGGAUAUGCAACAUAUUUUAGUAGGGCUGGCUUGCAAACGUUAUAUUCCAGCUGCAAACACAGGCAAAUAAAAUAUCGCAAACACAGCUACAGGAGAAGGAGCUGAAUCCUUGCUGCCUCAUGACAUCAGUUUGAAGUUCAAGCUCCUUUGCAGAAUGCUUAUUGUGGUGAUGAGGUGAGGAAGAGCAAAUACCAACUGGAUUGGC